UACGUAGGUGGCAAGCGAUACUCGGAAUCACUAGGCGUAAAGCGCAGGUAGGCGGCUUGAUAAGUCUUUUGUGAAAGCUCCUGGCUUAACUGGGAGAGGUCAAGGGAAACUGUCAGGCUAGAGUUUGGUAGGGGAUACUGGAAUUCCUGGUGUAGCGGUGAAAUGCGUAGAUAUCAGGAGGAAUACCUAUGGCGAAAGCAGGUAUCUGGGCCACAACUGACGCUGAGCUGCGAAAGCUAGGGGAGCAAACAGG
rnacentral:rRNA from 1 species